rnacentral:rRNA from 1 species
GACGAACGCUGGCGGCGUGCUUAACACAUGCAAGUCGAACGGAAAGGCCCUGCUUUUGUGGGGUGCUCGAGUGGCGAACGGGUGAGUAACACGUGAGUAACCUGCCCUUGACUUUGGGAUAACUUCAAGAAACUGGGGCUAAUACCGGAUAGGAGCUCCUGCUGCAUGGUGGGGGUUGGAAAGUUUCGGCGGUUGGGGAUGGACUCGCGGCUUAUCAGCUUGUUGGUGGGGUAGUGGCUUACCAAGGCUUUGACGGGUAGCCGGCCUGAGAGGGUGACCGGCCACAUUGGGACUGAGAUACGGCCCAGACUCCUACGGGAGGCAGCAGUGGGGAAUAUUGCACAAUGGGCGGAAGCCUGAUGCAGCAACGCCGCGUGCGGGAGGACGGCCUUCGGGUUGUAAACCGCUUUCGCCUGUGACGAAGCGUGAGUGACGGUAAUGGGGAAAGAAGCACCGGCUAACUACGU